rnacentral:rRNA from 1 species
UACGGAGGGUGCAAGCGUUGUCCGGAUUUACUGGGCGUAAAGGGCGCGCAGGCGGCGCAUUUUGUCAGGCGUGAAAGCCCCGGGCUUAACCUGGGAACUGCGUUUGAUACGGAUGGGCUAGAGUUCGGGAGAGGAGAGUGGAAUUCCCAGUGUAGAGGUGAAAUUCGUAGAUAUUGGGAAGAACACCGGUGGCGAAGGCGGCUUCCUGGACCGAUACUGACGCUGAGGCGCGAAAGCUAGGGGAGCAAACGGG